rnacentral:lncRNA from 1 species
CUUGGUGCAAUGACAGCACUGCGUCCGUCAGUAGAAAUGACAAUUUUGUCAUCUUUAACAACAUACUGUCUGAAGCGUUUGAACAAGUUUGCUCUUUGCUGCUCAGUCAUAUCUAUCCAGACUUCCUUUGUAACCUCAAAGUGCUGGUGAGAAGCAGCCAAGCGAAAGUUACCUGUUGACGGAAGGGCUGCUCUCAGUUCUUGGAACUGGCCAUUCACUCGUUGUUUAACCAGCCUGACAAACUCAGGUUUGAAUUUCUUAUCUGCCAAUUUGUCGAUUUCAUCCAUAACAUAGUCAGGUGUCCUUACAUACGUCUUAUUGUCGUGAGACAGGCCAUGGGGUGCUAAACCAGGGAAUUUCCCGACAUACUCAACCAGGGCCAAAGAACUUUCAAGACCCCCCUCGCCUAACCAGGUAACCUUUUUCUUGUAAUUUUUGUCUAACUUAUGAGUGGUGUAAUAACGAUGGAGAACAACUAUUUGCUCUUUUUCUGGCUGUGGCUGUAUGGGACGAUACUCUAAUUGCUUUUUGACCUGCUUUUUUGAACAAAAAAUACCUUGCCUGAGAUACAUAGCGCUAAGGUCACCGUUCUCGUGUAGAAGAAAAUAUGAUUUUGGGGAAGUUCCAGCAGACGAAUUCCAAAUACCACGGUCAUCUGAGAAUGCACUUCGUUUUUUGUUUGACCUGUUCAAAAAAUUAACCUUGUUGUCUAUUAUGAAAAAGACAUUUUCCUUGCAGCCACUAGGGAUAUGUAGGAGACCUGGGAUGUUUUUCAGGAGAUGGGUUAUGACGGUACUUGUGUCGAGAAACCCUGAUUGUAGCGACCCUUGCAUAUCAUUAGAUGUUUCUGAAGAGACUGUCUCAUUAGAAACAUCGGAAGAGUCCGUGCCUUUAUUUUCGGCAUUACCCUCAAAUAAAGGGAUUUCCCCUGUUUCGCAAUUGGUGGUGUCAAAUACUGCAGGAUUUGAAUCUUUGGCUGAUACCGUCAAUAAAUCUGGAAUAGACUUGCCAGACGAAGUGACUGGUUUCUCCACAAUUUCAGAUCCAGGAGCAUUGGAUACCGUCGGGUCAGAAACACCGACCGAGUCCGUCACCAAAUCUUUCAAAGAAAUGUCAGAUAAAGUGACAGGCUCCUCGAGCGUUUCACACCCAUAAGCACCACCUAUAGAUGUACAUAUACUGUCAUUAGUCUCUAGAGACUCUUCACCUGGAAACAGAGGAUAUUGGUCCACAUUUAUGCUACAGUUACUGUCACAAACAUCUGUUAGUUCCUGUUUAUCAAGUAGAGGUACAAAAUGAUUUGCAUGAAAACUAGAAAUUGAAACAGGGGCAACCAUCGAUGUCCACAUCAACAUUAUUCUAGGAAUCUUAUCUGCACAAGUGCUGCUUCCUACAAUUUUUCUUGUGAAAGCAGAGGAUAAUUCCGGCUUAACUUGAGGCGGAUAAUAGGACUGUAUGGGUUCAUCUAAUGCCGCACUCAAUGCAUAUAUAUGCGCCAUUUCACUGAAAGAAUUCUCUUUCAAAACGUCAUUCAAAAGUUUAUCAUAGUCACUUGUGACAAUUCUAAUAUCGUUAAUGAAGUCGUUGUGUUUUUUAUUUGUGUCAUAACAUGAUCUAUUUAGUAUCAUUUCUAACGCAGUCAAUAACCUUAGCAGGAUAUGUGCAUGCUCAUCUCCCGACAACACACGUGACACAGCUCUAUAAAGGCAAUUCCCGUCACCCAAAGUGCGUAGCGGAACAUACGCCGAAUUCAUCGAUGAUUGGUACAUUUCCAGAAUUUUGACAGCUUCCUCGUCUAUUUCAUAUGUCGCAGAAUCUGGUGUAUGUGUAGGUACUUCUACGCCGUAAGUUUCCAACAACAUCGAUUCAGAUUUUGCCUGAUUGGCCAAACUGUUUCUGCGGUUUGACAACAAAGCUGUAUGCAGUCUGGAAUAAAAAAAAAAUGUUAACAACAAACUGUACGAUAUCAGCUCGAUUUACAUGUUAAAACAUAUAACAAGACAGAGUUUAAACGGUUUAUCUAUUAAUCGUUUUAAAACAUAAAUAUUUCAAUAAGUUAGUUUUAAAGCCUUCUUAAGAAAUAUACCACCCCCCUCCCCCUCACUAGGUGUUUUACGCACGUGAAACCAACAUCAUCGAGUAACAGACCUAUUAAACAUAUAAAAUUCUUGUCGGAAUCAAUAACAAACUUACAACAUACACAUUUAAGAUUUUCCAAUGCAUUCAAAUUUAUUUUGGCUUUAAAUUUAAUAUAAAAUAUCCUAACGAUAUUCAUGAAAUUUGAUUCAAUUAUAUAAGAUAAUAAAUGCAUGUCAGACGUAACGUCAAAAGUUGCGACCCAUGCUAAAAAUUAACCAUGUUUUGUAAACUGCGAUAACAAAAGAAAACUGUUUUCUAUUUUGUAUUUUAACAAGUUUGAUCAGUUUCGCUUGCUUUUCUCUGUAAAAUGGCAGUCUAAUUUUGAAAAUGCUUUCAAAGAUGAUAUUUUUAUUUACAGAUGAAUGAGUUCUUAAAACUGUCACACGUAAAAAAAAACGCGGUCUUUACUAUCCGAAAACAGGAUAUCUGACAAACAGAUAAUAAUAAUAAUAAUAAAACGCGCACUAUCUCAAGUUUAAUCAUGUGUGUUCUUUAAAAAAAUGAUUGCAAACACUCUAUUUCGUUACCGUUUUUUUACACGAUACCAUUCUUGACAAUGUGGGUGAAAUCUCAGUUCAAAAGAAACACAAACUUACGAGACAGAAAAAUGUUCAGAUGUUAUAAAAGGUAAUAUCUGUACUGUUAAAAUGUUUUUAUUAGAUUUAAAUGUACGCUUUAAUAUAAGUAUGCAUUGUUUUUAUAAUAUAACAUGAAACAAAAUACGCCUGAAAUGAAAUAAUAGCAUCUAGACGUCCCGUUUUUAUCAUGUGUAAACUACUGAUACGUCGCUUUUAUGUUACACUAAUGGGUUUCAACUUUUGACGUUACGUCACAGAGUUUGGUUAAUAGUACUGUUUAUGCGAAAAAAAGAAGAGAAUAACCAGUUCAAGCUAUGAUUUAGCAAUAAGGAAUAGUUUAUUUGCGUUUUAGCGGGAAAUCUGCACGUGCCAUCGUGCCGCUGCUUUUGCAAUGAUAACGUGUACACACUCGACAACAUUGUAAUCGGUCAGUUUAUAUUGUAUAACUAUCUGGUUAAUAAUACAUGACUUGUAUUCUCUAGGAAUUUCACAUACCGACAUUUGAUUAGGUACUGCAGGUUACUAUUUAUUUAUUUUAACCAAUAUUGAAUAUUUGCGCGUGCAGGGCAUUACUGUUUGGUUAAUAAUGCAUGUAUUCAUACGAAAUUUCUCAUGCCGACAUUUGAAUAGGUACUACAGCUCAUUAUUCAUUUAUUUUGACCAAUAUUGCAUAUUUUGCACGUGCAUAUGCGGCAACAUGCACGUGUUAAAAACACGUCAUAGUGAUACUGACAUAAGCACAACGCGAGCGAGCUGUCGGGAUGUUGCUAGCCGGAACACAUUUACGAUGCAUGUGUAAUUAUUUUCGCAAUUUCAAAAUAAUUUUGAUAUAAAUUGUUUGAAGCUGUCACUUUGAUGCGUAUUUCCAUUUUUAACCUCAUUUCCGUUUACAAAAACCUUUAAUCGGUGAUCUACCAUCCGCGCUCUAAUGUCGAAAUUUAACCAAACUACAAUAUAAAAUGACCAAGUAGGAGUUUUGUUGACUUUAGUAAGUAAUAAUGAAAAAUAAACCAUUCUUACCUUGCUAGGGCUGCGCUGGCAUCAUAGCUGGUUCCAGAGAAUACACAGUUCUGACAUAGAAAGUUCAAAUGAGCAGCUGACCAAGCUCGCAAAUCUAUAUCACUCAGAUUUAAACAUUUACUAUGAAUCCAGUUCUUACAAUUUGAACAUUGUAUGGUGUCUUGCAGACACUCUAAAGCACAGAUGGAGCAUGGAUAUUCCAUAAUUAUGUGGCUUAUAUGUUUCUCUGUUAAUUUUAUAUCUUAUAUAUACGGGUGUGAACUUGCAAAUUCUGCUGACGUUUCCGUUUUUAAAUUUCUGGUAAUAAAAAUUCUGACAAUACCCCGCUAAAAGUUAGAAUAAGUGUCACCUUCAGGAUGUUGCACACUGAGAGUUGGGCCAAUAUAAUUUUAUGUGUGCAAUAUUUGAAUGUUAAUUGAAUUAACAAUAUGUUUUAAUAACUUGCCAGUUGCAGGUGACUUCCGCUAGUUAAUUUUCUUUAAAAAAAAAACAUGGGA